GGCAGUGGCCCCACCGGCACCGGGGAGUCCGUACCCCCUCCCUGUUCUGGGGUCCUGGCGACCCACCCCAGUCCGGAGACACCCUCCCGAGGCCCCAUCGCGUCCUGAGGCGCCUCAGGCCUUGUUUUUGUCGUCGCUGCUUGAUCUGGGCUGGCCUGUGACCUGAAGCGCCAUUGAAGUUCUUCCGGGAGCUGGGUUUGUGCCGCCCCCUCGCUUCCUAAGCUCCUGGGGGCAGUGGCCCCACCGGCACCGGAGAGUCCAUACCCUCUCCCUGUUCUGGGGUCCUGGCGACCCACCCCAGUCCGGAGACACCCUCCCGAGGCCCCAUCGCGUCCUGAGGCGCCUCAGGCCUUGUUUUUGUCGUCGCUGCUUGAUCUGGGCUGGCCUGUGACCUGAAGGUCUCAAUGUCGCUAAUUGAACCUGCUGACAUUUUUGGAGCAAAGAGACCUGGGAUGUGAAGGGACAGGAGACAUCUACCCAGG